rnacentral:sRNA from 2 species
ACGGCUCUACAGUGUAGCAGUAUGGCUGUGGGUAUACUUUGUUCUUUUGUUCUUUAAAGGGCGAUGAUGACUUUCCUCUUCUCAAAUAGAAACAGUGACGGAUACAUCCGGUUUCUCUCUUUCGGGAGGGCUUUGCCUGGAAGUACAUGUCUAACUUUCAUGAGCUGAAUGGAUUCUGAGUCCUCCUCAGUCAUAGCAGAACGUACCCACGCACCGUGCAAGCUGAUACUAAAUUGCCGUACCAGUUGUAUUACAGAAGCUUUCUUCUUUGACAGAUUUCACACAUCUCUAUAUAUUUUUUAAUACUUACUCUGAGCUCGUCUUAAAUAUAUUUGUAUCUGAAAAGCUAUUUCAUCUGCUCUAUCUCAA